AGACUGAUGAGAUCAGUGUGUUACUCUGUGUGAGAUCUGAGUCAUUAUGUUGUUUUUAACUUUACUACUGUUUUCAGCACUUGGAGGUAAAAGUGCUGGAGAUGUCAUCACCUCAAAGACGGAUCAUAUGUUUGCCACUUCAGGGGAAAGAGUUAUUCUUUCUUGCAACUACAGUGGUUAUGUGAGUAGUCUUCACUGGUAUCGUCAGUAUUUGGGUUCACACCUUCAGUUCCUCAUACUGGACUAUUCAGGAAGUACAAUAAAAGCUGAACCUCCAAUCCAAGGGAUAUCCAUUAAACAUAGAAAAGAAGCCCAAGAAGUGGAUCUGGAGAUCGUUUCAGCUGCUGUAAUGGACUCUGCUCUGUACUACUGUGCCCUGGAGCCACAGUGACAGGAAAACCAACAACACUGUACAAAAAUCAGAGAGCAAAAUGCAAAGCGGGACUCAUUCUUUCAUGUGAUUGUUCCACAUUG